rnacentral:lncRNA from 1 species
AGUUUAGGUAAAAUUUGUAAAUGAUCUUGCAUUUGAGUCUGAAGUUUAAAAGCAACAGUUACUCAUUUUGGGCCAAAAACUACAGGCAUGACUGUGCAUGCUUACUGGCAGCUCUCAGACCAUCCCAGCUCAGCUACUGUGUUUGGCUCUCUUCCCCAUGCUCAGCACUGUAAACAAACAAUCGGACAACAAAAGCAUGGGAUUCCUGAUGCUCUUCUAAGUUUGACCACAACCAAAUUGUAGGGUGUACCUGAUUCAGAAGCUCAGCGGCAGCCACGUUUGCAUCCAAGUGGCCCCCACACUUCAACAACACCAGAUUAUCAGAAGCACAAAGAGCACCGGCUUGCAUUUUUUUCUGGCUCAUGGGACAGGAGGGGUUGCAGACAAGGAAUGAGUCCCGUACUCAGGUGACUUCUUGUGAACCAAUCCCCUAAGGAAUAAAGAAGCCAAUCACUGGGUGAGUAGGCGGGACUUCUGGGUUGGAUGGAGGAAGAGAGGAAGCAGGAGAGAGUUAGGUCUUUUUUGGACGGGGAUAGCGUGAGGACAAGAUUUAAUUAUGAGUGGCUCCUGGUUUCAAUGGUGGAUCUGUCAGGAUUCGCCACAGGAGGAUUUAGAUUUAAUAAGACUUACAGAUUAGAAUUUUAGUUGAUGCACUCAGUGAUUGAGUUUAUGUUGUUUCUGAACUAAGCUUGUGUUGUGUUUUCCUUCACACAGCAGCUUGUCGGGGUUCAAGAGAGAAAGAUACGGUUGGCAAAGCAUGGAUUUGCCUGAGGUGCACCACAAAGAACUCUCAGCUACUUUUCCAUCAACAUGUUUGCCUGUGUGUGACCAUACUUCCUGCCAUGAUGAAAAUUGACUAAAUUUCUAAAACUGCAAGUUUCAAAACAUGGAAAAGAAGACAUAAAUGCACAAAGGCAUCUCACAAAACUGUCACAUAAUAUAAAAACACCAGAACUGAGCUGUUAAAACCAUGGCUCAGGAUUCAUCCAUGUAUCUCAGCAACACAUUCAGUGCCUUAAGGUGAGAAAAUACAGUCUGACAGAAGAAAAAAAAAAACCACUCA